AACUAGGGGUGAGCGGUUCCAGGUUCCGGUUCGGUUCCGUCUGGAACCUGGAACCUACCCUCGGGUACAGGUUCCAAAUUUUUUGGAACCUGGAACCUACCCGUCAGAACCAAGAACCUGGAACCUACCCGGUCACAGGUUCCAGGGUCGGUUCCAGGUUCCAACAGGUUCUUUUUUUCUUUUUUCUUCAUUUUUAAAUUUGAAUUAUAACGCGCAUAUUAUCGGAUAUGCUGGCUGUCACCGAUCUUUCUUCUCAAACCAUAUGUUUUUAUCAAAACAUGGAAAUCCUUUUUGUAAGUCCAUGAAGAAGUUCUCUGCUAUGCUUAACCUGUUAACAGCAGGUUCAUAUUAGGAGUAAAUCUACCAAAAAUCAUGCUGGUGCAUAUUUCUGUUUUCAAGCACUUAAAUAUCCCUAUGAACACAAAAAAACCUAAUCCAAUCCUUAGAACAAAAGAAAACAACAAACUCAGAAAAACGUAGAUUGGAGCGGUAGAAUGAUGUAAGCACAAUCUUUGUCUCCUUUGACAUGCAAAGGCGCUGAAUAACAUCUUCUC
rnacentral:lncRNA from 1 species